UACGAAGGGGGCUAGCGUUGUUCGGAAUUACUGGGCGUAAAGCGCGUGUAGGCGGUUGUCCAAGUCAGGUGUGAAAGCCUUGAGCUCAACUCAAGAAAUGCACUUGAUACUGGAUGACUAGAGGACCGGAGAGGAUAGUGGAAUUCCCAGUGUAGUGGUGAAAUACGUAGAGAUUGGGAAGAACACCAGUGGCGAAGGCGGCUAUCUGGACGGUUACUGACGCUAAGACGCGAAAGCGUGGGGAGCAAACAGG
rnacentral:rRNA from 1 species